GUUUAUUUUUGGCCUUUUGGCUAAAAUCAAGUGUAAUAUCUGUUCCUAUCAGUUUAAUAUAUGACACAUCCUCUAUCUGAGGACAAUAUAUUAAAUGGAUUUUUGGAGCAGGGAGAUGGAAUAGGAGAUUGCUUCUCAUCCACGCCACGCAUCGACCUGGUAUUACAAUAGCUCCAGGAAUGGGGCACUCCCU